rnacentral:rRNA from 1 species
CCUACGGGGGGCAGCAGUGGGGAAUAUUGCGCAAUGGGCGAAAGCCUGACGCAGCGACGCCGCGUGAGGGAUGAAGGUCUUCGGAUCGUAAACCUCUGUCAGCAGGGAAGAACGGUCACUGUACUAAUCAGCAGUGAAUUGACGGUACCUGCAAAGGAAGCACCGGCUAACUCCGUGCCAGCAGCCGCGGUAAUACGGAGGGGGCGAGCGUUAAUCGGAUUUACUGGGCGUAAGGCGCGCGUAGGCGGUAUGGCAAGUCAGGGGUGAAAUCCCCGCGCUCAACGUGGGAACUGCCUUUGAAACUGGCAAACUGGAGUGUGGGAGAGGAUAGUGGAAUUCCAGGUGUAGGAGUGAAAUCCGUAGAGAUCUGGAGGAACAUCAGUGGCGAAGGCGACUAUCUGGCACAUAACUGACGCUGAGGAGCGAAAGUGUGGGUAUCAAACAGGAUUAGAUACCCUUGUAGUC